rnacentral:rRNA from 1 species
GACGGAGGUGCUAGCGUUGUUCGGAAUGAUCUGGGCGUAAAGGGCGCGUGAGGCGCUUUCAAGUCGGGUGAUGAACGCCGGGCUCAACCCCGGGAACGCAUCCGAUACUGGGAGCUUGGAGACGGGAGAGGAGGUGGAUAUCCAGUGUAGAGGUGAAAUUCGUAGAUAUGGAUGGAACACCCAGGUACGGCGCGAAAGCGGGCGUCUCUGGCCCGGAUCGU